CUACGUGCCAGCAGCCGCGGUAAUACGUAGGUCCCGAGCGUUAUCCGGAUUUAUUGGGCGUAAAGCGAGCGCAGGCGGUUAGAUGAGUCUGAAGUUAAAGGCUGUGGCUUAACCAUAGUACGCUUUGGAAACUGUUUAACUUGAGUGCAAGAGGGGAGAGUGGAAUUCCAUGUGUAGCGGUGAAAUGCGUAGAUAUAUGGAGGAACACCGGUGGCGAAAGCGGCUCUCUGGCUUGUAACUGACGCUGAGGCUCGAAAGCGUGGGGAGCAAACAGGAUUAGAUACCCUGGUAGUCCACGCUGUAAACGAUGUCGACUUGGAGGUUGUGCCCUUGAGGCGUGGCUUCCGGAGCUAACGCGUUAAGUCGACCGCCUGGGGAGUACGGCCGCAAGGUUAAAACUCAAAUGAAUUGACGGGGGCCCGCACAAGCGGUGGAGCAUGUGGUUUAAUUCGAUGCAACGCGAAGAACCUUACCUACUCUUGACAUCCAGAGAAUUCGCUAGAGAUAG
rnacentral:rRNA from 1 species